AGAGGAGCAAAGAGUGAUAAAACAAAAGGAAGGCUCAUCUCACGAGUAACGAGGCCUCUAUGGUCCAUGGGCAGCCUCUUAAUUCUGUCAUCCACACUGGAGAGAAUGCUGACAGUCGUCAUGGGUGAACAUGUAAAACCUUCCAUUCCCACGGCAAACAGCAUUCGAAGGAAGAGAUGUACAAUUAAGUAAAGAAGUCACCACGCUUUCUCCAGCAUUCAUGACUGGGAUUCGAAUGAGGUGGAGCACUUGAGAUAUUUCUAUCCCAACUUCCUCUGCCCAGUAAUGACAUUAAACAAAACAAAUUAUUGCAAUUAAACAGAGAGAUGGCAAUGGUGGCCUGGAAAGAGACGUGGACUGGGAAAUUAAGAUGUGAUCCGGCUUCGUUUUACGUAGGAGAGCUUGUUAGCAAACGCUCAGAUCUAACGACUACAAGCUGCGAGCAUCUUCUAAUUAGUCCUGGCUGUUCUCAGGAAAACAAAGUAAAAUAUGGAGUCUCUUAAAAUGGGCCUCUUUGGCUAACUUGUCCCUGAGCAGACAGACAUUAAUAAAUGCUCUCAGUUCCUUGUGACACUUUCCUUUCGUGAAGAAAUUGGCUAUAGAGCUGCCAGACCUAGUAAAACAAAACAGAACUCUAAAAGCAAUUUAUAUUCUCGUUUCUUCCAUUAAAAAGAAGUUCCUUGUA